GAUGACAGAGGAUGAGAUGUUGGAUGGCAUCACUGACUCAGUGGACAUGAGUUUGCGUAACUUGAGUAACUCAGGUUACUCCAGAAGUUGCUGAUGGACAGAGAAGCCUGGCAUGCUGCAGUCCAUGGGGUCGCAAGGAGUCGGACCCGACUGAGUGACUGAACUGAACUGAGUGACUAACACUUUCACUUUGUCAUACCAGGUGUAAAUAAUCUCUCAGGAAUGGAAUGGCCCAAGCCUUGUGAUGCUAUUUUCCUGCUUCUGAUACAAAGGGAACAAUUCGUUUCUAUCUUGUUGGGACUUUCUUUACCAACAGAGAGCAAACAGGUGACUGGAUCAUGUAGCAAGUGGAACACAAAAGCUCAGAGCUGAGGAGGUGCCAUCAAAAGAGCUGGUCAUGUGGUUCCCCGAAGUGAGACUCAGUUGUAGAACAGGCCUGGCCACGGUGAGCAGUGA